rnacentral:rRNA from 1 species
GACGAACGCUGGCGGCGUGCCUAAUACAUGCAAGUUGAGCGCUCAAAGUUGGUGCUUGUUCCGCCUGGAUUAGCAGCGAACGGGUGAGUAACGCGUGGAGAAUCUGCCUUUGAGCCGGGGACAACUUCUGGAAACGAAUGCUAAUACCGCAUAAAAUCUUUAAACACAAGUUUCAAGUUUGAAAGAUGCUAUUGCAUCACCUAAAGAUGAUCCCGCGUUGUAUUAGCUAGUUGGUGAGGUAAAGGCUCAACAAAGCGAUGAUACAUAAACGACCUGAGAGGGGGAUCUGCCACACUGGGGAUCAGACACGGCCCAAACUCCUACAGGAGGGAGCAGUAGGGAAACUUCGGCGAAGGACGAAAGACUGACCGAGCGAAGCGGCGGGAGUGAAGAAGGUUUUCGGGUCGUAAAACUCUGUUGGUAGGGAAGAACGUUGGUGGGAGUGGAAUGCGCAUCAAGUGACGGUAACUACUCAGAAAGGGACGGCUAACUACGUG